rnacentral:rRNA from 1 species
CACGUAGGGCGCAAGCGUUGUCCGGAAUUAUUGGGCGUAAAGAGCUCGUAGGCGGUCUGUUGCGUCCGCUGUGAAAACUCGGGGCUUAACCCCGAGCCUGCAGUGGAUACGGGCAGACUAGAGGUAGGUAGGGGAGAAUGGAAUUCCCGGUGUAGCGGUGAAAUGCUUAGAUAUGACAUAGAACACCAAUUGCGAAGGCAGCUGCUACACA